rnacentral:rRNA from 1 species
UACGAAGGGGGCUAGCGUUGCUCGGAAUCACUGGGCGUAAAGCGCACGUAGGCGGCUUCUUAAGUCAGGGGUGAAAUCCUGGAGCUCAACUCCAGAACUGCCUUUGAUACUGAGAAGCUUGAGUCCGGGAGAGGUGAGUGGAACUGCGAGUGUAGAGGUGAAAUUCGUAGAUAUCGGGAGGAACACCAGUGGCGAAGGCGACUUCCUGGCCUGUUCUUGACGCUGAGGCGCGAAAGCUAGGGGAGCAAACGGG